rnacentral:rRNA from 1 species
UACGUAGGGGGCAAGCGUUGUCCGGAUUUAUUGGGCGUAAAGAGCGUGUAGGCGGCCAAGCAGGUCAGCUGUGAAAACUCGAGGCUCAACCUCGAGACGUCGGUUGAAACCGCUUGGCUAGAGUCCGGAAGAGGAGAGUGGAAUUCCCGGUGUAGCGGUGAAAUGCGCAGAUAUCGGGAAGAACACCCGUGGCGAAGGCGGCUCUCUGGGACGGUACUGACGCUGAGGAGCGAAAGCGUGGGGAGCGAACAGG